rnacentral:rRNA from 1 species
UUAUAAGAGACAGCAGCCGCCGCGGUAAAACGUAGGUGGCAAGCGUUGUCCGGAAUUAUUGGGCGUAAAGGGCUCGCAGGCGGUUUCUUAAGUCUGAUGUGAAAGCCCCCGGCUCAACCGGGGAGGGUCAUUGGAAACUGGGAAACUUGAGUGCAGAAGAGGAGAGUGGAAUUCCACGUGUAGCGGUGAAAUGCGUAGAGAUGUGGAGGAACACCAGUGGCGAAGGCGACUCUCUGGUCUGUAACUGACGCUGAGGAGCGAAAGCGUGGGGAGCGAACAGGAUUAGAGACCCCUGUAGUCCCUGUCUCUUAUAC